rnacentral:rRNA from 1 species
UACGUAGGGUGCGAGCGUUGCCCGGAUUUAUUGGGCGUAAAGGGCGCGUAGGCGGCUCUGCACGUCCGUUGUGAAAACCUAAGGCUUAACCUUGGGCCUGCAGUGGAUACGGGCAGACUAGAGUGCGGUAGGGGAGAUUGGAAUUCCUGGUGUAGCGGUGGAAUGCGCAGAUAUCAGGAGGAACACCAAUGGCGAAGGCAGAUCUCUGGGCCGUAACUGACGCUGAGGAGCGAAAGCAUGGGGAGCGAACAGG